rnacentral:sRNA from 1 species
UGCGUCCCGCUUCGAGGCUAGCUGUCCUGGACGUGGUGAAGGCGAGUGCUUCACGGGGGUGGGGAUGUCGCGGAACGGUUUAGGGCUAUCGAUAGUUAGUCAAGUUGCAUUUUAGAGCCGCCAGAACUUAGAGAUAUUUGUGUCAGGAAUCUCGUGAAUGUGUAAUUCGGGCACACUAAAUCAUGUAAAGUUAUGCUUAAUUUUGGCGGAUAGUAUUACUACGAUUUGAGCAUCACACUGAGUGGGAAGGGAAACUGCGAAUAAAACAUAAGACCCAAAUACUCUGUUUGUUAUCGAA